CUCAUGAAACACAGCACUAUGCUGCAGACAGCAGGUUGUCUGAGACAUAUUUCAAAGAUUGAAGAAAAGAUAGACAUUGUGUCUGACUAUCUCCGAUGGUAUAUAAUCGACCGCAACUCAUCUGUACUUGACAGGUGGAUUACCAAAACACUCUAUGCAUCUGCUCCUGGUCCAGCCCUUCGAUCAAAUUUUAGGCCUGCGAGUUAAAAUGUUUGCCUACCCCUGAGAUACGCUUUAGUUUUUUUUUUCUCUUCUGCUGCAGCUGGACUGAUAUCUGCAUCACCUUUUCACCAGAACAGAGUUCCCUCGUUUAUUUCAGGAGUUACGUACUAAGAAUAACCGAGAACGAUGAAAUCUGCGGAGUAGGAUCCCGGACGUUUAAUGGCAGUAAAACUCCUCGCUACACACUUUCUGCACUUUUCACUUUUCUCACACAUUCGUCUCAAAGUUCAAACCUUCAUAGUAAUAAAGUCCAUAAGUAUAGAAUGAAAACAAAGAUCUGAUCACGAUCAAAGAUUUCUACAGAUCUUAAGAGCUGUGCGUUUCUGUACAGGAGACACGUCACAAAGGAGAUUGAUUGACAAGAUCUCCAGCCAAUCAGAACACGGUGCGCCGUUUGAAAAAAGAAGCAGCAGAAUCUCUGUAACAGAGUGAGCGAAACCGCAAAA